AAAUAUCCAUGCAUGCAAUACCAAUUUUCCUUUUUCAUCAGCAAAAAGAGAAGGCAAAAUCCACAUUGAAAUGGAGGAAAUUAAAUGCUUAUUUUCACACUAGAAACAGGUCAUAGCACUAUUAAUACCUAGUCACUAUUCUACCAGGUGUUCCACCGAGUAUAUGAGAAAUUAGAAUGUUAAAUUUUUGCAAUUUAUAAAAGAAAUUCUAAAUAGCAAAAAUACAUAUAAGGCCAUCACUUAAACUGGAUCUUUGAUAAUUCUUCUUAACUUCUAUUGGUGAUCAUUUCUCUUAUACCGGGAGGUAUUUGCUUUUUCCCCUUGAGAUAAAUUAUGUGUCAAAUUGUUUGCUGCAUGAAACAAUUGUAAUGCUAUUAAGUUGCUCAAGCAGAAUUGCAUAAUGUCCUGCAUAUAUAUCAACUUUAUUACAUGUCAAAUACAGAACAUAGGCACCACCAACAGCCACAACCAAUUAGCAGAUUGCAUUCAUCUCACAAUAUAAAAGGGCACAAAAUUAUAGCAUUAACUGAUGGAACAAAGAGGCUAAAACUUCACUGUAAAAGAAUCAGUUGAGACUAAAUCCAAAGAAACAUA
rnacentral:misc_RNA from 1 species